rnacentral:rRNA from 1 species
CCUACGGGUGGCAGCAGGGAGGAAUAUUGGUCAAUGGCCGGAAGGCGGAACCAGCCAAGUCGCGUGAAGGAAGAAGGAGCGAUGGUGUGUAAACUGCGUUUAUAGGGGAAUAAAGGUAUCCACGUGUGGAUAUUUGCAUGUACCCUAUGAAUAAGCAUCGGCUAACUCCGUGCCAGCAGCCGCGGUAAUACGGAGGAUGCGAGCGUUAUGCGGAUUUAUUGGGUUUAAAGGGUGCGUAGGUUGUUUUUUAAGUCAGCGGUGAAAGUUUGUGGCUCAACCAUAAAAUUGCCGUUGAAACUGGAAGACUUGCGUGUGUUUGAGGUAGGCGGAAUGCGUGGUGUAGCGGUGAAAUGCAUAGCUAUCACGCAGAACUCCGAUUGCGAAGGCAGCUUACUAAGCCAUAACUGACACUGAGGCACGAAAGCGUGGGGAUCAAACAGGAUUAGAUACCCGAGUAGUC